CCACGUCCCGACGCACUCCCCCCGGCGCCGGGACCACCCCAGCCGGGCUUCGGCACCCUCCCCCCCCCGGGUGCCGAAGCCCGGCUCUUCU
rnacentral:ncRNA from 1 species